AUAGAUUGUAACAAUAUACAAUGGUAUAGUUCUGAUAGUCGUAAGAAACAUAUCAAAAAAUGACAUCGGUUCAAUGCGUCAUAAUGUUCGCCUGUCUAUCGCUGAUCAUUGACGGAUUACCUCUGUCUCCUAAGUCUGCCACAUUCACAAGCCAAAACGAACCUUUUCAUGUUCCAUCAAAGAGAACUGAAGCCAAAGCAUUGAUACCUAUGACGUCACACAAGGAUACCCGUUCGAACUCUGUCACUAUUUACUGUAAAACACUGAAGUGUAUCGAAGAUCUGAAGUUGUUCCUGGCCACUCACCCACGAGAAGGACUGGAAUUUUUGGGUGGAAGGUGGUAGCAGAGAAACGAUGAAUAUAAUUGUGAGGGAACGUGAAUAAAACCUUUCAGAAUCUCAAUUUUCUUCCAAUACUGUGUCCUAUUUAUUGUUAUUCCAUCAACUCCUAUGUUUCAUUUAUUGAUGUGUGAUAUUUUCGCGAAAUAAAGAAAAAUCAACAUGUU